rnacentral:rRNA from 1 species
GACGAACGCUGGCGGCGUGCCUAAUACAUGCAAGUCGAACGAGAGCGACCGGUGCUUGCACUGGUCAAUCUAGUGGCGAACGGGUGAGUAACACGUGGGUAACCUGCCCAUCAGAGGGGGAUAACAUCCGGAAACGGAUGCUAAAACCGCAUAGGUCUUCGAGCCGCAUGGCUUGAAGAGGAAAAGAGGCGCAAGCUUCUGCUGAUGGAUGGACCCGCGGUGCAUUAGCUAGUUGGGGGGGUAACGGCUCACCAAGGCCGUGAUGCGGAGACGACCUGAGAGGGGGAUCGCCCACAUUGGAACUUGGACACGGCCCAAACUCCUACGGGAGGCAGCAGUAGGGAAUCGUCCGCAAUGGACGCAAGUCUGACGGAGCAACGCCGCGUGAGUGAAGAAGGUUUUCGGAUCGUAAAACUCUGUUGUUAGUGAAGAACAAGUGCUAGAGUAACUGUUAGCGCCGUGACGGUAUCUAACCAGAAAGCCGCGGCUAACUACGUG